rnacentral:rRNA from 1 species
CGUUCCCGGGUCUUGUACACACCGCCCGUCACACCACGAAAGUCAGCAACACCCGAAGCCGGUGGCCUAACCCGCAAGGGAAGGAGCCGUCGAAGGUGGGGCCGGCGAUUGGGUG